GGUGGUGGCUCAGUGGUACAGCACCUGCCUAGCAUGUGCAAGGAACUGGGUUCGAUUCUCAGCCCCA
rnacentral:tRNA from 1 species